rnacentral:rRNA from 1 species
CCUACGGGAGGCAGCAGUGGGGAAUCUUGCACAAUGGGGGAAACCCUGAUGCAGCGACGCCGCGUGAAGGAAGAAGUAUUUCGGUAUGUAAACUUCUAUCAUCAGGGAAGAAAAUGACGGUACCUCACUAAGAAGCCCCGGAUAACUACGGGCCAGCAGCCGCGGGAAUACGUAGGGGGCAAGCGUGAUCCGGAUUUACUGGGUGUAAAGGGAGCGUAGACGGAAGAGGAAGUCUGAUGUGAAAGGCUGGGGUUUAACCCCAGGACGGAAUUGGAAACUGUGUGUCUAGAGUGCCGGAGAGGUAAGCGGAAUUCCUAGUGUAGCGGUGAAAUGCGUAGAUAUAAGGAGGAACACCAGUGGCGAAGGCGGCUUACUGGACGGUAACUGACGUUGAGGCUCGAAAGCGUGGGGAGCAAACAGGAUUAGAUACCCGAGUAGUC